UCCCGCGCCCUUCGCCGGGCGCACGGCGUCGGGUGCCCGCCGGGGCCGGAGCCCCGGGCGGUAGCGGCCGGAGCCCCCGGCAGCAGCGGCUUUGUCUGCCUCCGACGGGGCCCAGGAGAGGCGAGCCCGGGAUCCCCCGGCGCGCCCGCCGUCCAGCCCUCAGAUCUUCGGGAGGACCGGGGCGCGGAGGGGGUGUGAGGGAACCCGAAGGGGCCUGCACGGAGGGGCUGCCGUCAUUUUAGUUCCGCGUUUUCUUAAAGUGUGUCCAGAAUGUAUGGAGCCACUGAACUUUUUUUAAAUGCACAUCUUCUGUGAAAGUAUUAGAACAGCUCAAUUGACAAGACUUUGGAAGAUGGAGGACAGUGGCAGAAGUAGAAAGACAGACCUAACCUGACCCUACACAAUCCAAGGCAUCCAUUUGCUGUGACUGGGAGGGAGCAAGAAGAGCAAAGAAAAAGAAGGAAUUAAUAUUCAGAACUCAGGAACAUACAGACUUGUCCUACCUUCUCCAUGAAAUCAAAAUCAUGAAAUGAAACCUACCCGAGUCGAGCUCCAUGUCGGCGGACGAGGCUGCCGAGUCGCUUUCCUUCUGCUUCUUUGGACUAGUAGGG